UUUCGACAGUAUAACUGUGAUGUUUUGCAAAUAAAUUAGUAGGAAAGGCCAACCAAGCCCUUGGAGGCUUAAAAGUAAGUAUAAUUAAAUGAGGGGUAUUGUGGUAAUUGAACAAUAGUUGAUAAAUAUAAAUAGAAGAAAGAAGAAGAAAGAAAGAGGGAUCUGAAAAUGGAAGGAGCAAACCGUGAGAGAGAAGGGAGGAGGAAGAAGAAGAAGAGAAAAGAGGGGAAAAUAAGGGAAAAAGGAAAGGAGUUGGAGGAAAUAAGUUUAAAGGUUCUCCUAACGAUCCUCAAUAGGAUUUUCGGGUCUUUCGUCUGACAUUCCUUUAGUUCUAUAUUUUCCGGGUUCUUAGUUUCUGAUAGCAGGUGAACCUUGUUGAGUGUUCCUGCUUCUUCAGUUUUGGGUCAGUAUGCCUUGUUUAUCUUUCAAGGCUGUUUGAUUCGAUGUCUUAGGCGCUCCACUAUUACCUUGUUUUGAUUAAGUUUGGAUUUUGACAAUGUAAUGAGUAUUAUGGAUUAUUGUUUUGUUUUAAUUACUGAUGAGGAGUUUUAAACUAUCUUUUGGUUUCAUCAGUUUUGAAUAAUAUAAGAUUUCUGAAGAUUAUGAAAUGCUGCGUAUUUUUGAAUAAAUUACUCUUUUGAUAUGUCCGUUUUGAGGCUUAGCGCGGGCGGGGUGUCCUUCCAGCACCGCUCCUGCGUUGCCGGUCACGGACCCGGGAUUCGGGUCGUGACAAAGGUGGUAUCAGAGCUCGGUUCUUGUUGAAUCCCUAUAGCUUGGUUUUGUUAAAACUUGGUCUUUUUUUUAAAAAAAAAAAAACUUGUAAUAUGUGGAGCUUAGGAUCCUUCUCGCCUUAUUGUGAUUCCUCAUUGUCUUCUUUGAACUUUUUUUUAUUGCCGUGUUGAUAUACAUGUAGGGAAAUAUAUAUGUAUGUGAAUGUUUGAUAUAAAUAUAUCAAUGGAUAUACUAUGUAUAAUAUGUGUGUUUUUUAUACAUGGCUUUGAUAUAAGUAUAUUCUUGGAUAUAAUAUAUGUGGUAUACAUGUUUUGCAUAUGUGUGAUGUUAUACUUGUGUGUGUGAAUAUUUGAUAUAAGUAUUUCUUUGAAAGUAUUUGCAUAAUACGUGUAUUUGAGUAAUAAUAUUUCUUGAAAAUACUUAAGCAUAAGUAUUUGGUAUAAAUAUUUUUUUGGAAGUAUAUAUAAUAUAUGUAAAUGAGCAGGAAAUAUAUUUUGUAACUAUUUAUGAAAUAUAUGUAUGUGGAUAUGUGUGUGUGAGAUAUGGAGUGAGUAAUAAUUAUAAAUAUUAUUUAAAUGUAUUUUGCAUUACUAGAAAAAUAACAUUAUAUCUGAAAUAAAUAUGAUUUGUUUGUAUAUCUGAUUAGUUAUUGUAUGAUUUUGAAAUAUAAAUUUUAUAUGAAUUUUUAAGUGAUUUUGACAUAUAAAUCUAAUAUAAAGUUUUGAGUUAAACAAGUUAGAACACCAACACUAAUUUGUGUGAAAGGCUACAAGCAGAUCUGAAUACUCCAUCUAUGUCUGAUUUUCUGAUUUGUAGUGCUCUAAAAGUAUGUAUAUGUGCAAAUCAUGUUAGUGAGUGUAUAUUGAAUGUAAGUAUGUGCUUUUAAGUAAUUGAACAACUUAUAGUAUUUUUGUAUUUAAAUCUGAUUUUACAUCAUAUUUAUAUCUAUAUGUGUUAUCUUUGGUAAGUAUUCUGAAAAAUAUGUCUAAUAAUCUUUUUCUAUGAUAUAUAUAUCGUUGACAAUAUUCAAUGAAAAAUUUGUGUUUGAUAAUAUUUUUCUGGGUGUGUUUAUUUUUGAGUCGUGGACGCUCAUCUCUUUCCGCAAUAUUUUUAUUUCAGAAAUAUAGAUUUUAAAUGCAGGAGAAAGUUGAAAUAUGAUUAAUUAGUUAUGGAUGAUGAGACUGUUAUUGGAGAAUUACUUAUUAAGGUUGUUAUUAUAGGCUUUUGAUUAUGAUCUAUAUGUUGAUUAAUAUACUUAUCUAAAAUUGGGUGAUUUGGUACUUUUAGAAAUAGUGAGCAUUUUAUGUGAUAUUAGGUAUGGAUUAGUUGUCAAGACACCAUGUCUUAGUUGAUUGUUGGAAUAAGAUAAUAGCUUUCAAACCUAAUGAGGAUACAAAUUUGCUUUUCAUGAAGAUAAAGUAUCAUCUCCAUCUAGUAUUUUCCCGGCCAUCACGAGAAGGAUGGUACGAGAAGGAUGGUACGGAAGGGUAUGCAUGGGUUUUUGGCUUAUGUGCAUGAUGUGAACAUAGAGGUCCCAAUGAUGGAUCAAUGAGGAUGUGUAUAGACUAUAGGCAGUUGAACAAGGUCACUAUUAAGAAUAGAUACCCAUUCCCUCGCAUUGAUGAUCUUUUUGAUCAAUUACAAGGAGCUCAAUGUUUCUCAAAGAUUGAUUUGCGAUCGGGGUAUCACCAGUUGAGGAUUAGGAAUGAGGAUAUCCUAAAACUGCCUUUAGGACUCGUUAUGGGCAUUACGAGUUUCUAGUGUUGUCUUUUGGGUUAACGAAUGCACUAGUGGCUUUUAUGGACAUGAUGAACAGAGUUUUUAGGCCGUUUAUUGAUAAAUUUGUUAUUGUGUUCAUUGAUAACAUCUUGGUGUAUUCAAGAAGUGGAGAGGAACAUGAAAAGCAUUUGAGAUUGGUGCUUCAAACUCUGAGAGAUCAUCAGUUGUAUGGAAAAUUCUUGAAGAGUGAGUUUUGGUUAGAAACUGUUGGGUUUCUGGGACAUGUAGUGUCCAAGAAUAGGAUAGAGGUUGAUCCACAAAAAGUGGAGGCAAUUAAGCAGUGGCCUAGACCAGUUACAAUAUCUGAGAUUAGGAGUUUUAUGGGUUUAACAUGAUAUUACAAGAGAUUCGUGGAGAAUUUUUCCUGAAUUGCUGCUCCAUUGACUAAGUUGACACAAAAAAAAAAAGUCAAGUUUCAAUGGUCAGAAGAAUGUGAAAAGAGUUUCCUAGAGUUGAAGGAAAGGUUAAUUACAGCUCCUAUUUUAACAGUACCUUCAGGGUCUGGUGGUUUUACCGUGUACUAUGAUGCAUCCAGGAUUGGUUUGGGUUGUGUUUUGAUGCAGAACGGUAAUGUGAUUGCUUAUGUCUCGAGAAAAGCACGAGCAAAAUUACCCCACACAUGAUUUGGAGAUGGUUGCGGUAGUGUUUGCCCUUAAGAUUUGGAGACACUACUUGUAUGGGGAGACAUGUGAGAUAUUUUCAGAUCAUAAGAGUCUUCAAUAUAUCUUCCAGCAGAAGGAUCUGAAUUUGAGACAAAGAAGGUGGAUGGAAUUGUUAAGUGAUUAUGAUUGCAUGAUUCAAUAUCACCCGGGUAAGGCAAAUGUUGUUGUCGAUGCCUUAAGCAGAAAAUCUAUGGGUAGUUUGGCUCAUAUUCAAGAGGUGAGGAGACCCUUGAUUAAAGAGUUACACUGAUUAUUAGAUGAGAGGGUCAGUUUUGAGAUUUGUGAAUCAGGAGCAUUGUUGGCUCACUUUCAGGCUAUGUCAGACUUGGUAGACCGAAUUAAAGUAGCUCAAAUGAAGGAUGAACGACUUUGCAAGAUUAGAGAUGAGUUGGAGUUAGAGAGAGCUCUGGGUUUUGUUAUCCAUGAAGAUGGUGUGUUGAGAUUUGGUUCCAGGUUAUGUGUGUCUGAGGUGGAUGAUUUGAAAAGAGAUGUGAUGACAGAAGCACACCAAACUGCUUAUACUAUGCAUCCUCAGUUCUCAAGUAGGGUAUCUUAAGUCCCAUGUUAUCUUUGAUUUUUUUUUUUUCCUUACUGAACAUGUUUUUGCUUCAAUUUCAAGAGAAACACUAUCAUUUGAGGUAAUGUUAGAAACCAUGUAACAACUUUUCAUCCAUCUAAGCUUCUUCCAAGCUGGUUUUUAUUAUCUUUACCAUAAUUAUUGCCUUGAUCUUGUCACAACAACUAUGUUCCUCCUUUAUAAUCUUUAUCAUUUCAUCUUACUCUUUAGUUGUUAUAGUGGUUGAGAGAACUAUAUGCAUCUUAUCAUGUUCAUCAUUUAUUGCUUUUGCAAUCAACAUUUCCUCCAUAAUUGAUACCUCUUGAAAGUUUGAGCUCAUAAUUGUUGUUGUUCAUUAGACUUUGUUACUUCAUGACAUUCCCCAACUAUAAAGCUGAAUUCUUUUACCUGAUGCUUAAAAAUAAAAGAAUAAAAUAAAAUUAUGAGGAUGCGUUUUGAUUUUGAAGAGAUAUGAUUUGAGAUAAGUUGUUUGAGAAAAGUUGAUUCAAGAGAAAUUGAAGGGUAUGUUGUUUGAUUUUGAGGGAUAUGAAUUAAGAAAAGUUAUGCAUGAGAUAUAUCAGAGUGCGCAACGAAAGCAUGGUGCUAUAUAUUGAUUUUGUUUUUAGUGGACUUUAAAUGAUAGUUUAAGAAAUACAAUUUAGAGAUAAGUUUUAAAUAAUUUAUUUGAUCAUGAUGGUAAGACUUUGGUUCUUAAAUUUUAAGUUUCGAGGACGAAACUUUUAUAAGGUGGGGAGAUUGUGAUGUUUUGCAAAUAAAUUAGUAGGAAAGGCCAACCAAGCCCUUGGAGGCUUAAAAGUAAGUAUAAUUAAAUGAGGGGUAUUGUGGUAAUUGAACAAUAGUUGAUAAAUAUAAAUAGAAGAAAGAAGAAGAAAGAAAGAGGGAUCUGAAAAUGGAAGGAGCAAACCGUGAGAGAGAAGGGAGGAGGAAGAAGAAGAAGAGAAAAGAGGGGAAAAUAAGGGAAAAAGGAAAGGAGUUGGAGGAAAUAAGUUUAAAGGUUCUCCUAACGAUCCUCAAUAGGAUUUUCGGGUCUUUCGUCUGACAUUCCUUUAGUUCUAUAUUUUCCGGGUUCUUAGUUUCUGAUAGCAGGUGAACCUUGUUGAGUGUUCCUGCUUCUUCAGUUUUGGGUCAGUAUGCCUUGUUUAUCUUUCAAGGCUGUUUGAUUCGAUGUCUUAGGCGCUCCACUAUUACCUUGUUUUGAUUAAGUUUGGAUUUUGACAAUGUAAUGAGUAUUAUGGAUUAUUGUUUUGUUUUAAUUACUGAUGAGGAGUUUUAAACUAUCUUUUGGUUUCAUCAGUUUUGAAUAAUAUAAGAUUUCUGAAGAUUAUGAAA